AUCUCAUGAACUUACAGAUUGCCUCGGGUAAUUUUCUUGCCUCAUUGUGAAUUGCAGCUCCUCCUUGCUAACGCCGACAGGAUGCUAGGUUGAGACUGAGAGCAGGAUGCACCACCACCGACAGUAACCAGGGGCGGAUGCCGUUUGUGGUACAACAUUUG